ensembl:lncRNA
CUGCCUGCCAAAGAAGGAGACGCAGAUUCCUAAAAAAGAAACAGCUUCAGCAGAGACUGGAAGGGACAGGAUGCAGCAUGGGAAGAAAAAAUCAGCCCUCCAUGGACUGUAGCCUGCCAGGCUCCUCUGUCCAUGGAAAUCUCCAGGCAAGAAUACUGAAGUGGGUUGCCAUUACCUUCUCCAGGGGAUCAUCCCAAGCCAGGGAUCAAACCCAGGACUCCUGGGUUGCAGGCAGAGUCUUUACCAUCUGAGCCACCAGGGAAGCCCAAAGUGAACCAAAGGGAGGCCAAAAGCACACCUCUCAAACCUGUGCAGAGUCUGCAUUGCUCAGGUUCAAGGGGUAUAAACCAAAGACAAACUUUGUGAAAGUAGUUGCCAAUAGAAACAACACUGCUUCUACACAUGUAUUCUUUAGCUUCUCAGGCCAUCAGUCUCAAGUGAAUAACUCCUUUUCUCUUCUCACCCUGGGUGUCAGGAUCACAUAUUACCUUGCCAAGGAGAGGAGGGCUCUUAAGAAGCUUUUGUGUGAUGAGCUCAUCAGGAACAAGCAGCCUAUUUACAUGAAUGAAUGAAAUGCUUCUGAACCCUGUGCAAAUUAGACCUGAAUAUAUGAAGGAGGGAGGGAAAGCGUGCUGAG